rnacentral:rRNA from 1 species
GACGAACGCUGGCGGCGUGCUUAACACAUGCAAGUCGAACGGAAAGGCCCUGCUUUUGUGGGGUGCUCGAGUGGCGAACGGGUGAGUAACACGUGAGUAACCUGCCCUUGACUUUGGGAUAACUUCAGGAAACUGGGGCUAAUACCGGAUAGGAGCUCCUGCUGCAUGGUGGGGGUUGGAAAGUUUCGGCGGUUGGGGAUGGACUCGCGGCUUAUCAGCUUGUUGGUGGGGUAGUGGCUUACCAAGGCUUUGACGGGUAGCCGGCCUGAGAGGGUGACCGGGCACAAUGGGACUGGGAUACGGGCCAGACUCCUACGGGAGGCAGCAGGGGGGAAUAUUGCACAAUGGGCGGAAGCCUGAUGCAGCAAAGCCGCGGGGGGGAUGACGGCCUUCGGGUUGUAAACCGCUUUAGCCUGGGAAGAAGCGGGAGGGACGGUAAUGGGGAAAGAAGCAACGGCUAAAUACGGGC